GAGUAACGCGUGGAUAACCUGCCCCCAGGAGGGGGAUAACUUGCCGAAAGGCGGGCUAAUACCGCAUAACAGGGCAGGGGUAGGUUCCUGUCCUUAAAGCCGCAAGGCGCCGGGGGAGGGGUCCGCGUCCGAUUAGCUUGUUGGUGGGGUAAGAGCUCACCAAGGCAACGAUCGGUAGCUGGUCUGAGAGGACGGCCAGCCAGACUGGGACUGAGACACGGUCCAGACUCCUACGGGAGGCAGCAGUGGGGAAUCUUGUGCAAUGGGGGAAACCCUGACGCAGCAACGCCGCGUGGGUGAUGAAGGCCUUCGGGUCGUAAAGCCCUGUCAGGUGGGAAGAAACAUGUCGAUUCGAAUAGGACCGACAUUUGACGGUACUACCGGAGGAAGCACCGGCUAACUCCGUGCCAGCAGCCGCGGUAAUACGGAGGGUGCAAGCGUUGUUCGGAAUUAUUGGGCGUAAAGCGCGUGCAGGCGGUUGAGCAAGUCAGAUGUGAAAGCCUUCCGCUUAACGGAAGAAGUGCAUUUGAAACUACUCGCCUAGAGUUCGAGAGAGGAGAGUGGAAUUCCCGGUGUAGAGGUGAAAUUCGUAGAUAUCGGGAGGAACACCGGUGGCGAAGGCGGCUCUCUGGCUCGAUACUGACGCUGAGACGCGAAAGCGUGGGGAGCAAACAGGAUUAGAUACCCUGGUAGUCCACGCCGUAAACGAUGGGCACUAGGUGUAGGAGGUAUUGACCCCUUCUGUGCCGAAGCUAACGCAUUAAGUGCCCCGCCUGGGGAGUACGGCCGCAAGGCUAAAACUCAAAGGAAUUGACGGGGGCCCGCACAAGCGGUGGAGCAUGUGGUUCAUUCGACGCACGCGAAGAACCUUACCUGGGCUUGACAUCCCGGGAAUCCCCUGGAAACAGGGGGGUGCCCUUCGGGGAACCCGGAGACAGGUGCUGCAUGGCUGUCGUCAGCUCGUGUCGUGAGGUGUUGGGUUAAGUCCCGCAACGAGCGCAACCCUCACCCUUAGUUGCUACCAGCUCUGCUGGGCACUCUAAGGGAACCGCCAGCGAUAAGCCGGAGGAAGGUGAGGAUGACGUCAAGUCCUCAUGGCCUUUAUGCCCAGGGCUACACACGUGCUACAUGGUCGAUACAAGGCCGCGAACCCGCGAGGGGGGGCCAAUCCCAAAAGUCGUCUUAGUUCGGAUUGGAGUCU
rnacentral:rRNA from 1 species